UACGAAGGGGACUAGCGUUGUUCGGAAUCACUGGGCGUAAAGCGUACGUAGGCGGAUGUGUCAGUCAGGGGUGAAAUCCCGGGGCUCAACCUCGGAACUGCCUUUGAUACAGCACGUCUCGAGUCCGGAAGAGGUGGGUGGAAUUCCUAGUGUAGAGGUGAAAUUCGUAGAUAUUAGGAAGAACACCGGUGGCGAAGGCGGCCCACUGGUCCGGUACUGACGCUGAGGUGCGAAAGCGUGGGGAGCAAACAGG
rnacentral:rRNA from 1 species